UAAAGAGAUGACUGACCUAGAUCCCCUCCUCAAAUGGAGGUUUUAGACUUCAUGGAUCCACUCUCCAAAUCAGAGGAGCAGAGGAGCAAAGGAUACUGAUAAGGAUGCCUUGGGAACUCUGAUCAAUGCAAUGACUGAUUUUCAUUCCAGAGGAGUCAUGAUGAAAUGUGCCAUCAACUGACAGAGAGAUUUCUCUGAUCAGAGCAAGUGGUCAGUAAAAGACAUGAGCACAAUGGACCAUCCAUCAAUUGGCAAAUGAUACAGCUUAUAGUCUCCAGGACAUUCAGCAACCUCUGGAUUCCCUGGCAAAUGUGAUCCUGGAUAAUUGGAGAUUAACAACUCCCAAAAGGUGGAGCUCAAUAGGACUAGAGAAAGUAAAACCUCGAUGUGAGACAUCCAUGAAAACCUUAGUAUAUUCCUUUUACUUAUUUUUGGCCCUUGUCUGCUUAAUCUCCUUGCCAGAUUUGUCUCCUCUAGGCUUAGUGCCCUCCACUUCCAGAUGACUGCUCAGGCUGCAUGCCAACCUCUGUCUGAGACCACAACGCAUCAUCCCUUGGACCUGGAAUUGGUCAAGUUCCAGACACUGGCUAAAGCACCAAACCCUUGAAUGGAGGGACCCCACAAGGCUAAGACAGUUCUACACCCAUUUACCCACAGAUUGGACAGGGAAUUGUUACAUCAGGUUUGUCUGACCAAAGCUUUUCUUUUUGUCAGGGCAGAUGGGAGGUUUCUUAGGAGUUAAGUUUGGACAGAAGUAGGAGUAUUGACACCUCCCUGACCAGUACAGGUGAUGCUAAUGGAUGGGGAGACACUUGGCCCCCUGAAAGAAUAAUUAAGACAUAUGGUCCAGCUACUUGGGCCCAGGAUGGUAGUUGGGGGUAUAAGACCCCCAUAUAUAUCUUCAACAGAUUAAUUAGAUUACAGGCUGUAGUGGAAAUAACAAUGAAUCAGACAGCAAAGGCUUUGGACUUAUUAGCAGAUCAAGCCACCCAAACCAGGGAGGCAGUCCUGCAACAUAGAUCAGUACUGGAUUACCUCUUAGCAGAAGAGGAAGGUGUCUGUAGAAAACUAAAUCUGUCAAAUUGUAUGAAAAUUGAUGACAAUGGAAAAAUAGUGAAAGAUAUCACUAGCAACAUUAGAAAACUGGCACAUGUACCAGUACAAACCUGGACCUCCCCUUUCAAUACUUCUUGGUGAUCCUGGUUCAGGAGUUCUUGGUGGAAGCAGGUCCUUUGGUUUGCCCUUAUUGCAAUUAGUAGAAUAAUACUCCUCCCAGUUUGCCUCCCAUGCAUGAUGCAAUUGAUAACUAAAACAGUACAAGACACUGUGUCCAGAAUAGUUAGACUUGAAGGGAAAGCAGAAGGGUCUGUAUGGCUCAUGAUGCUAAAAGGACAAGGCUGGGUUCCAGUGGAAACUGAGGAAUGCCAGGACCCCAAAGGGAGGGAUUUGAUUCAGGAAGCAUACAAAGACUGGUGUGAGGGGUCUUCAGAGAGUAACAAAUGAAGAGGAGGGAUUGAGUGGUAUGUGGGUGCCAGUAUCAGUGAAGACCCCUAAGAACAUGAUCAUCCCCCCCUUUUUUUUCUUUUCUUUAGUUGUAUAAGCAGAAAUUCCUGAACUAUAGUGUAUUCUGUUUAUCUCAUCCUUUAGCUACAUGACCUUGGGUGGUACACUGAAGUCAUAAGGCCCCAAAAGGGGAACCUGUUGCGCUUACUGUAAUCCUUUGUUCUCUUCAUUGCUGGGGAAGAUUUACUCGAAUAGAUUGUGCCUCUGAGGCUCAGCCA